AACGAACGCUGGCGGCAUGCCUAACACAUGCAAGUCGAACGAGACCUUCGGGUCUAUUGGCGCACGGGUGCGUAACGCGUGGGAACCUGCCCUUAUGUUCGGCAUAACUCCCCGAAAGGGGUGCUAAUACCGGAUAAUGUCUUCGGACCAAAGAUUUAUCGCCUUUGGAUGGGCCCGCGUUGGAUUAGCUAGUUGGUAGGGUAAAAGCCUACCAAGGCGACGAUCCAUAGCUGGUCUGAGAGGAUGAUCAGCCACACUGGGACUGAGACACGGCCCAGACUCCUACGGGAGGCAGCAGUGGGGAAUAGUGGAAAGUGGGCGAAAGCAUGAUCCAGCAAUGCCGCGUGAGUGAUGAAGGCAGUAGGGUUGUAAAGCUCUUUUACCCGGGAUGAUAAUGACAGUACCGGGAGAAUAAGCUCCGGCUAACUACGUG
rnacentral:rRNA from 1 species